UACACUCCUGCGGGAGGCAGCAGUGGGGAAUAUUGGACAAUGGGCGCAAGCCUGAUCCAGCCAUGCCGCGUGAGUGAUGAAGGCCCUAGGGUUGUAAAGCUCUUUCACCGGUGAAGAUAAUGACGGUAACCGGAGAAGAAGCCCCGGCUAACUUCGUGCCAGCAGCCGCGGUAAUACGAAGGGGGCUAGCGUUGUUCGGAUUUACUGGGCGUAAAGCGCACGUAGGCGGACUAUUAAGUCAGGGGUGAAAUCCCGGGGCUCAACCCCGGAACUGCCUUUGAUACUGGUAGUCUUGAGUUCGAGAGAGGUGAGUGGAAUUCCGAGUGUAGAGGUGAAAUUCGUAGAUAUUCGGAGGAACACCAGUGGCGAAGGCGGCUCACUGGCUCGAUACUGACGCUGAGGUGCGAAAGCGUGGGGAGCAAACAGGAUUAGAUACCCCUGUAGUCCCAUG
rnacentral:rRNA from 1 species